AUUGAACGCUGGCGGCAGGCCUAACACAUGCAAGUCGAGCGGGGUUUUCGGACCUAGCGGCGGACGGGUGAGUAAUGCGUAGGAAGCUACCCGAUCGAGGGGGAUACCAGUUGGAAACGACUGUUAAUACCGCAUAAUGUCUACGGACCAAAGUGUGGGACCUUCGGGCCACAUGCUAUCGGAUGCGCCUACGUGGGAUUAGCUAGUUGGUGAGGUAAUGGCUCACCAAGGCGACGAUCUCUAGCUGGUUUGAGAGGAUGAUCAGCCACACUGGAACUGUGGCACGGUCCAGACUCCUACGGGAGGCAGCAGUGGGAGAUUUUGGACAAUGGGCGCAAGCCUGAUCCAGCCAUGCCGCGUGUGUGAAGAAGGCCUUCAGGUUGUAAAGCACUUUCAGCGAGGAGGAAGGGGUGUGUGUUAAUAGUACACACCUUUGACGUUACUCGCAGAAGAAGCACCGGCUAACUCUGUGCCAGCCGCCGCCGUAACAC
rnacentral:rRNA from 1 species